rnacentral:rRNA from 1 species
GAUGAACGCUGGCGGUAUGCCUUACACAUGCAAGUCGAACGGAAAUUAGCUUCGGUUAGUCUUAGUGGCGGACGGGUGAGUAACACGUGAGAAUUCGCCUUUAGGAGGGGGAUAACGGAUGGAAACAUUCGCUAAAACCCCAUAUGCCCCUGGGUGAAACAGAGGAGAUAAGUAAUACUGACUCACCUCUGCCUGAAGAGAAGCUCGCGGCUGAUUAGCUAGUUGGUAGGGUAAAGGCCUACCAAGGCGACGAUCAGUAGCUGGUCUGAGAGGACGAUCAGCCACACUGGAACUGAGACACGGCCCAGACUCCUACGGGAGGCAGCAGUGAGGAAUUUUCUGCGAUGGGCGAAAGCCUGACAGAGCAAUACCGCGUGAGGGAUGAAGACUUACUGAGUUGUAAACCUCGGUACCUUAAGGAAGAAGAUCUGACGGUACUUAAGGUGGAAAGCAUCGGCUAACUCCGUGCC